rnacentral:rRNA from 1 species
CAGCAGCCGCGGUAAUACGGAGGAUCCGAGCGUUAUCCGGAAUUAUUGGGUUUAAAGGGUGCGUAGGCGGAUAGAUAAGUCAGUGGUGAAAGACGGUGGCUCAACCAUCGCAGUGCCGUUGAUACUGUUUAUCUUGAAUAUGGAUGAGGUAGGCGGAAUGUGGCAAGUAGCGGUGAAAUGCAUAGAUAUGCCACAGAACACCGAUUGCGAAGGCAGCUUACCAAGGCAAAAUUGACGCUGAGGCACGAAAGCGUGGGGAUCGAACAGGAUUAGAUACCCCGGUAGUCCCUGUCUCUUAUAC